AAAGAAUUAGUUUAAUUCAACAACAUUAAAUUGUCAAUUUAAAAAUAUUAUAUAUACUUAUAAUAUUCUUUA
rnacentral:tRNA from 1 species